UACGGAGGGUGCAAGCGUUAAUCGGAAUUACUGGGCGUAAAGCGUGCGUAGGUGGUUCGUUAAGUCAGUUGUGAAAGCCCCGAGCUCAACUUGGGAAUUGCAGUGGAUACUGGCGAGCUGGAGUGCGGUAGAGGAAGGUGGAAUUCCCGGUGUAGCGGUGAAAUGCGUAGAGAUCGGGAGGAACACCAGUGGCGAAGGCGGCCUUCUGGACCAGCACUGACACUCAAGCACGAAAGCGUGGGGAGCAAACAGG
rnacentral:rRNA from 1 species